CUCAGCCUCUGUUGGUUACCUCCUGGGGUGGAUCCCCUGCUGCUGUUUUGCACGGAUUUAGUUCUGUUUUAGCUGUGCUGUUCUGUUUUGGUUUGGUUCUGUUUUGGUUUUGGUUCUGUUUUGCUAUUUUGUUUUGAUUGCUUUAGUUCAGUUUGUUUUUCUGUUAUUUCCCCUUUUUCUGUGUCAUUGUUUGACCAUUGGGUUGCUGAGUUACAUAACCCCUGUUUUGCUGUUUGGUUUGGUUUUGCUCCAGUUGUCUUUAUUUAGUUAUAAUUAUUAUUGUACUAAAAGAAACGGUUAGUAUAUUUAUUGUCUCUGCCUCUUUAGUUCUUGAACCUGUGUCCUUAUUAUUUCUGUAAUAUCAUAGUUUAAUUUUCUUUGUUCUAUAUUUCCUGGGGUGUAAUUCCCCAGGUGGCGUUGUCGGCCCCUCUUUAGUUAUUUUCCCCCUCCCCUCGUUAAUAUUGACUUUUACACUGUGCCCCGCCACACUUGCAACACCGGAAAAUAAACCUCCAGAAACUCAAACUCUUUGCCCACACUGCGCAAGAUUCGUGCCCCUGGUGCCUCAGUGGCUAUUUUGAUUACGUUGCUUAGUUUAAUUUCUUUAUAUUCCAGUUAUGUUUCUUUGAGGACAAUUCGCAGCUACAAAGAUCUUUCAAGAGUUUAGGCAGACAUUGAGACAGAAAAGCCCGGAGAAGGACACCUAGCCUUAGUAAAAGAAAUAAACGAACCAACCUGUCUAGGAGAAGCUUGUUUCUUGAGGAACCCUGACGCUCCACUGGUCCGACCACUGGUCUGACGCUCCACUGGUCUGACCCUCCAAUGGUCUGAUGCUGGACUAGUCGCAAUGCUGGUCUGACGCUCCGCUGGUCUGACCCCGGACCGCUGGCCUGAGGUCCUUAAGGAACCCUCCCUUCCGGACCGUCGGUUUGAGUUUCGUUUCCGUGAGGUGAUCUCGGUCACGUAGUCCGUGUUUACAUUAGAUUAGAUUCAACUUUAUUGUCGUUGUGCAGAGUAAUAUAGUUAGAAAUUAAACAGGUGCAGUAAGAUAACAGAGAAUGCAUGUAGUACGAUGCGUACUAAAAUAUAUACACAUAUACACGUAGGCCAACCUCCUUAACAAGUGGGCCGAAAAGGAAAGCCACUGGGGGUUCAUGGGCCACACAGAGUAAAACUAUGUGAAUGAAUCGCUACAAAUAAAUCGUACUUAAAGAAUUGUUAACUUACUAUAUAUAUAGUACUGCUACAUGGAAUAAACUUGUCAGACGCAUUCCUUCCUUCACUUUUAAUAGUACCAUUAUAAAAGAUUUUGUUCUCACAUUUUGGACACGUAUUUAGAAUUCAACAAUGUUGUUUGAAUCAUCACAAAACAGAACUACUGUACAUAUGAGAUAUUUUGAGCCACUGAGUCAGUGAGAAAGAUUGCACUGCCUUGUUUGCCUAGUUUGGCUCAUCCUGAGACACUCAUGCAGCUUCUUAUAGGUCAUGGAGCAACGUGCCCUUGUUCUGAUGGCAUUCAUAUGAGAAAAGCUAGACUCACACUUAUCGGUUGAGCCAAAAAUUGUCAGAAUAAGUGGUGAUGCCAGUUCCUGGUUGUGGGGUGCUGAUACUGGCUAGUAUCACCGGCUACACACGGAAACCUGAUUUGCAUGCAAC
ensembl:lncRNA